UUACAGCAGCCCGACUUGAACGGAGCUCUUUUUGUUAUUGCGAUUGUAUAAUAGUCUGAUAGAUUACUACACUGUGUUCGCAAUGACAAAAAAGCGGGAGUGGAAGGCGGAAAAGCUG
rnacentral:misc_RNA from 1 species